AGAAAAACAGCACCAAGAAAGCCUCCAAGCUUCCGACAGACCCUGGGUGGCAGAAAUAUUAAAACCCAGCCUGAUAGAUCACACUGGUGGACAGCGUUUCCUGGCCGGGUCCCAGCUACCUUAUAUAACAGUGCAGUUUAACUGGGGUCACUGGCCCUGGGGGCGCUGCUAUUGAUGCAGUGGCUGCUGUAAGGGCCAGGUGGGCAGGAGCCCUGACGCAGAGAGAGGGGCUUGCCCGGGGGCGGGACCGCGGGCGGGCGGGCGACGGGCGGCAGCUCACCUCGGUGGCGCGGCAGGUACACUUGUAGGUCUGGCUUGCGGGGCCGCGUGGGCGCGGGCGUGUGGCGCCUCCUCGCCUUCUCCUUGGCCGCCUGCUUCACCUUCUUGUCGUAGUCGUCCCUGCGGGGAGCCGAGCGGGAGUCAGGCGCUGUCACCCGGCCGAAUCGGGCCGGGCCGGGCCUGGGGCGGGGCGGUACCGAGCGAGCUGGUUCCGACGGAUGUGGUGUACGAAGCCGUGGCUCAUGUCCAGACGCCCGCCGGGCUUGCAGCACAACCCCGGCCCCUGAUCCUGGGCCGCCUCCAUUCGUAUCCUGGGUACAGAACCGCCGUAACCGCCACAACUGCCGCGGAAUUAGGGCCUUCGGCUGCGGACCAUGACUUCCGGCCGCCGACCUCGGCUUCCGGCUCCGAUGCCCUUUUUCCGGUUGCGUAGGGCCAGGCGCAGCGGAGCAGAGAUGCUUUCGAAAUUUGAGAACCUUCAUCUGUGAGCGCCCGUAGAGCUGGAGGUCCUCUUACUUUGUGGUAUCACCUGAACGAAAGAAGGAGUCUAUAGCUAAUACCAGGAAAUUAUUUUUAAAAAUUCGAGUCAUCCACGAAUACUGAAAAUGCAUUCUAUUAGUCUAGAGAUGUUGGCUUUCUUUUCCUAGCCCUUUAGUAUAAUAAACGUCACUAUGAGAUCAAA
rnacentral:lncRNA from 1 species